rnacentral:rRNA from 1 species
UACGAAGGGUGCAAGCGUUACUCGGAAUUACUGGGCGUAAAGCGUGCGUAGGUGGUUUGUUAAGUCUGAUGUGAAAGCCCUGGGCUCAACCUGGGAAUUGCAUUGGAUACUGGCAGGCUAGAGUGCGGUAGAGGAUGGCGGAAUUCCCGGUGUAGCAGUGAAAUGCGUAGAGAUCGGGAGGAACAUCUGUGGCGAAGGCGGCCAUCUGGACCAGCACUGACACUGAGGCACGAAAGCGUGGAGAGCAAACAGG